rnacentral:lncRNA from 1 species
GAAGGUGGUAAAGUUUGAAGCUUUGUUGUUGGGUUUUAAUGGAGUUUUUAGGGAUUUAUGUUGGACAUGAGAGAUGAUAAAGAUGAAGAGAGAUGAUUAUUUUUGAUAAUGAGUGGAAAAAAGUCAAAAAUUCAGACUUAUGGGGGCGUGUGAGGUUGUGUAGUAAGUGAUGAUUGGGCUAAUUUAUGGGUGGUGGAUCCCAUGGGAAGAAAAGGAAAAAUUUUGGAACAAACGUGAGUGUUGACACA